rnacentral:rRNA from 1 species
CGAACACGGUAGUUAAGCUUCUCUGCGCCAAUGGUAGUUGGGGGCUUCCCCCUGCGAGAGUAGGUCGCUGCCGGGC